rnacentral:rRNA from 1 species
GACGAACGCUGGCGGCGUGCCUAAUACAUGCCAGUCGAACGCUGAAGAGAGGAGCUUGCUCUUCUUGGAUGAGUUGCGAACGGGUGAGUAACGCGUAGGUAACCUGCCUUGUAGCGGGGGAUAACUAUUGGAAACGAUAGCUAAUACCGCAUAACAAUGGAUGACACAUGUCAUUUAUUUGAAAGGGGCAAUUGCUCCACUACAAGAUGGACCUGCGUUGUAUUAGCUAGUAGGUGAGGUAAUGGCUCACCUAGGCGACGAUACAUAGCCGACCUGAGAGGGUGAUCGGCCACACUGGGACUGAGACACGGCCCAGACUCCUACGGGAGGCAGCAGUAGGGAAUCUUCGGCAAUGGGGGCAACCCUGACCGAGCAACGCCGCGUGAGUGAAGAAGGUUUUCGGAUCGUAAAGCUCUGUUGUAAGUCAAGAACGGGUGUGAGAGUGGAAAGUUCACACUGUGACGGUAGCUUACCAGAAAGGGACGGCUAACUACGUG